UGCUUGGCGACCAUAGCGUUUUGGACCCACCUGAAUCCAUUCCGAACUCAGAAGUGAAACGAAAUAGCGUCGAUGGUAGUGUGGGGUUUCCCCAUGUGAGAGUAGAACAUCGCCAGGCUU
rnacentral:rRNA from 2 species